GAGAAAGUAAGCAAGGGCAGACGGUGGAUGCCUUGGCUCUCGGAGGCGACGAAGGACGUGAUAAGCUGCGAAAAGCCCGGGGGAGGCGCAAAUAGCCCUUGAUCCCGGGAUAUCCGAAUGGGGCAACCCGGCAGGCUGAAGGCCUGUCAUCCCGAAAGGGAGGCGAACGUGGGGAACUGAAACAUCUAAGUACCCAUAGGAGGAGAAAAUAAACAAUGAUUCCGUAAGUAGUGGCGAGCGAACACGGAAGAGCCCAAACCCAUGUCGUCUAGGCGACACGGGGGUUGUAGGACCACGACGUGGCAAGAAGGAAGGGAAAUGGAACGACUUGGAAAAGUCGGCCAUAGACGGUGAAAGCCCGGUACAUGACUCCCUUACGAAGCCUAGUGGUAUCCUGAGUAGCGCGGGGCACGAGAAAUCUUGCGUGAAUUAGCGGGGCCCAUCCCGUAAGGCUAAAUACUCCCGAGAGACCGAUAGCGAACCAGUACCGUGAGGGAAAGGUGAAAAGAACCCCGAGCAGGGGAGUGAAAUAGACCCUGAACCCGUCUGCCUACAAGCGGUCGGAGCGUCGUAAUGACGUGACGGCGUGCCUUUUGCAUAAUGAACCUACGAGUUACCUUCCCCGGCAAGGUUAAGUACCUAAGGUACGGAGCCGAAGCGAAAGCGAGUCUGAACAGGGCGCCAAGUCGGGGGGGGUAGACGCGAAACCGAGUGAUCUACCCUUGGCCAGGUUGAAGGUUGGGUAACACCAACUGGAGGACCGGAUGGGUAAGCGUUGAAAAGCUUUCCAAUGAGCUGAGGGUAGGGGUGAAAGGCUAAUCAAACUCGGAGAUAGCUCGUACUCCCCGAAAUGCAUUUAGGUGCAGCCUCUUUAUAGUAUAUCGUGAGGUAGAGCGACUGAUUGGAUGCGAGGGCUUCACCGCCUAUCAAGUCCAGAUAAACUCCGAAUGCGCGAUAUAUAUUUAAAGGGAGUGAGGGCGCGGGUGCUAAGGUCCGUGUCCGAGAGGAGAAGAAUCCAGACCACCGGCUAAGGCCCCCAAAUGAUCGUUAAGUUGAACUAACGAGGUCGGAUCGCAGAGACAGCUAGGAUGUUGGCUUGGAAGCAGCCAUUCAUUUAAAGAGUGCGUAACAGCUCACUAGUCGAGCGAUCUGGCGUGGAUAAUAAUCGGGCAUAAACGAUCUGCCGAAGCCGUGGAUGUCGCAAGACAUGGUAGGGGAGCAUUCCAUGCGGCGUCGAAGAUGAGGGAUGACCCUUGUUGGAGCGCAUGGAAAAGCAAAUGUAGGUAUGAGUAACGAUAAGGGGGGCGAGAAACCCCCCCGCCGAAAGACCAAGGUUUCCUGAUCAACGCUAAUCGGAUCAGGGUGAGUCGGGACCUAAGGCAAAGCCGAACGGCGCCGCCGAUGGAAGAAUGGGUUAAUAUUCCCAUACUGCCUCAUGGAGUGACGUGGAGACGGAGAAGUGACAGUCCUGCCGGCUGACGGAAUAGCCGGUUGAAGGGUGUAGAUAUUGAUUCCCGUAGGCAAAUCCGCGGGGAGAGUCGAACCUGAGAGUAUACGGAGCGCUUGCGCAACGUAAUAUGGACGUAACCAUGCUCCCGAGAAAAUCCGCUAAACUUAUCCAUGCGGCACCCGUACCGUAAACGGACACACGUGGUCGGGUUGAGAAUACUGAGGCGCUCGAGUGAUUCACGGUUAAGGAACUAGGCAAAUUGACCCUGUAACUUCGGGAUAAAGGGUCCUCGUCGUAAGGCGAGGCGCAGAGAAUAGGUCCAGGCAACUGUUUAACAAAAACACAUGGCUGUGCUAAAUGGAAACAUGAUGUAUACAGCCUGACACCUGCCCGGUGCCGGAAGGUUAAGAGGAGAUGUCAUCCGCGAGGAGAAGCGUUGAAU
rnacentral:rRNA from 1 species